rnacentral:misc_RNA from 1 species
GGAGGAUCAGGUACUGGAAUGGGAGGCAUGGCAGCACUAUAUCAAUUGUUAGACAGUGACCAGCCUUUCCUUUGCAUGCUGCGGAUGGUGCUUGUCUCAUUAAGGGAAGAAGAUGAUGGUGGAAAUCAGAUGCUAAUGAGGCAUGGAAAGACAGAAGAUGGGACGUCGGAGGGUUUUCGUAGACAGACUAGCAAUCUUUCUAUUUUAGACGUGAAUGCUCGUGUACCAUCAAGGAAACCGCG